rnacentral:rRNA from 1 species
AUUGAACGCUGGCGGCAGGCCUAACACAUGCAAGUCGAGCGGUAGCAGGCCUUCGGGCGCUGACGAGCGGCGGACGGGUGAGGAACACGUAGGAACCUGCCUCGUAGUGGGGGAUAGCCCAGAGAAAUUUGGAGUAAUACCGCAUAUGCCCUGAGGGGGAAGGUGGGGGACCGUAAGGCCUCACGCCAUGAGAGGAGCCUGCGUCGGAUUAGCUAGUUGGUGAGGUAAGAGCUCACCAAGGCGACGAUCCGUAGCUGGUCUGAGAGGAUGAUCAGCCACACUGGGACUGAGACACGGCCCAGACUCCUACGGGAGGCAGCAGUGGGGAAUAUUGGACAAUGGGCGAAAGCCUGAUCCAGCCAUGCCGCGUGUGUGAAGAAGGCCUUCGGGUUGUAAAGCACUUUAAGUGGGGAGGAAAAGCGGUACGUGAAUAUCGUGCUGCCGUGACGUUACCCACAGAAUAAGCACCGGCAAACUCCGUGCCAGCAGCCGCCGUAAGAC